rnacentral:misc_RNA from 1 species
UCCGACUUAACGUCGGCAGUCUAUCUAGAGUGCCCAACUUAAUGCUGGCAACUAAAUAUAGGGGUUGCGCUCGUUAUGGGACUUAACCCGACAUCUCACGACACGAGCUGACGACAGCCAUGCAGCACCUACCAAGCAGUCCCGAAGGACGAUGAUAUCUCUACCAUCUUCUCCUUGGCUUCGAGCCCAGGUAAGGUUUUUCGCGUUGCAUCGAAUUGAACCACAUGCUCCACCGCUUGUGCGGGCCCCCGUCAAUUUCUUUGAGUUUUAAUCUUGCGACCGUACUUCCCAGGCGGGAUACUUAACGCGUUAGCUUCGUCACUGAAGGGGUCAAUACCUCCAACAACAAGUAUCCAUCGUUUACAGCGUGGACUAC